rnacentral:lncRNA from 1 species
AAUGGGCCAUGUUUGUGCCUGAAUGGGAGUGGGCGAAGUGAAUCCCGCAACAUGAAUCUGGAAAAGAUGACACAUAAUGAAUAUCUAGAGAACAAAUGGUAAAAACAUCAACACACAGUUAAUAACUUCAAGCAGAAUACUGAAGCAAGUAGCAUGAAAACUAAUUUAAUCUUUAAAAAAGAAAAGGGCAAAGAUAGAAAAAUGAAGGAAAAUCCUAAAGAAACACAUGGGAUGCAGUUGCUUACUGAAGCAACUCCAGGCAACAAAAGGGAGCAACUAAAACAGAAGACCCGGAGCAAUAAGCUAGAAACCCAGUCAUCUAUUGGAAUUUGUCUGAAGGGCCAACUACCCUUCAAGAGCUACGCAAGAGAGGAUCCAAUUUCCAUUUUGCAGCCUCAAAAACUC